rnacentral:lncRNA from 12 species
CAGUAAGCAUAGAAGAGACAUGAGAAAUCAUUAUGUUGCAGAGAGAAGCUGCCUCAAACCGUGGCUCACAUCAUGACUAUGUGCAGGAAAUUAUCCCAGAAGGACAGAGUGAGGUGAUCAG